GGGAGAAGAUUAAACAAAGUUUUGGCAAACAAAAAUUGAAUUUAAAAAACUUUUGAAACAUAAAACAUAUUUUAUAUUUUUAUAUAUUUUAUUUCCGUACCUAAACAAGUAUAAAAUGUGAAAAUGAAAAAUGCUUAAAAAAAUGCCAUUAUUAUUAUUAUUAUUAUUAUUAUUAUUAUUAUUAUUAUUAGUUGAUCACAUAACACAUUAUUUAAAUA
rnacentral:lncRNA from 1 species